AUUGAACGCUGGCGGCAGGCCUAACACAUGCAAGUCGAGCGGUAGCACAGAGGAGCUUGCUCCUUGGGUGACGAGCGGCGGACGGGUGAGUAAUGUCUGGGAAACUGCCUGAUGGAGGGGGAUAACUACUGGAAACGGUAGCUAAUACCGCAUAACGUCGCAAGACCAAAGCGGGGGACUUUCGGGCCUCGCGCCAUCAGAUGUGCCCAGAUGGGAUUAGCUAGUAGGUGGGGUAAUGGCUCACCUAGGC
rnacentral:rRNA from 1 species